CCCCUAGAUGUUCUGGGCCGCACGCGCGCUACACUGAACAGUUCAACAAGUCUUAACCUUGGCCGAUAGGUCUGGGUAAUCUUUGAACGCUGUUCGUGAUUGGGAUAGACUUUUGCAAUUUUUGGUCUUCAACGAGGAAUUCCUAGUAAACGCAAGUCAUCAACUUGCAUUGAUUACGUCCCUGCCCUUUGUACACACCGCCCGUCGCACCUACCGAUUGAAUGGUCCGGUGAAGCCUCCGGAUUGGCGCGCACCCCGGUGCCGCCGAGAAGUUGGCUAAACCUUACCAUUUAGAGGAAGGUGAAGUCGUAACA
rnacentral:rRNA from 1 species